UACGUAGGUGACCAGCGUUGUCCGGAUUUACUGGGCGUAAAGAGCGCGCAGGCGGUCGUUCAAGUCGAGUGUGAAAGCCCCCGGCUCAACUGGGGAGGGUCACUCGAUACUGAUCGACUUGAAGGCAGGAGAGGGAAGCGGAAUUCCCGGUGUAGUGGUGAAAUGCGCAGAUAUCGGGAGGAACACCUAUGGCGAAGGCAGCUUGCUGGGACGGUACUGACGCUGAGGAGCGAAAGCGUGGGGAGCGAACAGG
rnacentral:rRNA from 1 species